AACGAACGCUGGCGGCAGGCCUAACACAUGCAAGUCGAACGGGAUCUUCGGAUCUAGUGGCGGACGGGUGAGUAACGCGUGGGAACAUGCCCUUUGGUACGGAAUAGCCCCGGGAAACUGGGAGUAAUACCGGAUAAGCCCUACGGGGGAAAGAUUUAUCGCCAAAGGAUCGGCCCGCGUUGGAUUAGGUAGUUGGUGAGGUAAUGGCUCACCAAGCCGACGAUCCAUAGCUGGUUUGAGAGGAUGAUCAGCCACACUGGGACCGAGACACGGCCCAGACUCCUACGGGAGGCAGCAGUGGGGAAUCUUAGACAAUGGGGGAAACCCUGAUCUAGCCAUGCCGCGUGAUCGAUGAAGGCCUUAGGGUUGUAAAGAUCUUUCAGUGGGGAAGAUAAUGACUGUACCCACAGAAGAAGCCCCGGCUAACUCCGUGCCAGCCGCCGCGGUAA
rnacentral:rRNA from 1 species